CUGAGUACUACACUCUCUACCCUUUGUGAACUAUUAUACCUGUUGCUUCGGCGGCGCCCGCGAGGGUGCCCGCCGGUCUCAUCAGAAUCUCUGUCUUCGAACCCGACGAUACUUCUGAGUGUUCUUAGCGAACUGUCA
rnacentral:misc_RNA from 1 species